rnacentral:rRNA from 1 species
AUACGAGGGGUGCAAGCGUUGUUCGGAAUCACUGGGCGUAAAGGGAGCGUAGGCGGAAGUGCAAGCAAUCUGUAUAAUCCUGGGGCCCAACCCCAGUUCUGCAGAUUGGACUGUAUUUCUUGAAUAGUUCAGAGGCAAGCGGAAUUUCUGGUGUAGCGGUGAAAUGCGUAGAUAUUAGGAGGAACACCAGUGGCGAAGGCGGCUUGCUGGACCGUAACUGACGCUGAGGCUCGAAAGCGUGGGGAGC